CCGUUUAUUUUUUUUCCUUCUACUGGAGAAGGUGAUAUCUGGUGGAAGGCGCUGAGUUUGCCAGGCUCUCCUACGUUUAAAGAUCUGGUGGGAGCCAGAUUGGAGACUCUUUAAAUGAUCGAGCUGGGUAGCUUUAAAUCUUUCUUUCACGCAGUGGCUAUUUCUCAUUCAGCUGCCUCCUCUAAAAUAUCCCGAGUUAGAGGAAAAGGUGUGCGAGGAUGGUCCAUUAAUUUCUAUUGUCCACUAAAUAGGUGCUUCAUCCAUCUACAGGAGCUGCUGGAAAAGAGCAUUUGUCAGGAGAGAAACAGUGUGUAAGAGCUAUGGAGGCGGAUAACCUUUUUUUCCUCGGCCAGUAAAUUUCUAAAAACCUAGGAUGUGCUAAAUGAAGUAGUUUUUCAGAUGAGUCCUUAUGAACCAGGAGUAGUGGCCCAUUCCAUACGUAUGGAGUAACGGUAUUUAGAAGGGUGUCUGAUCUUCGAUAGACAGGGAAACUGUUUCUAUGGAGUUGAAAUACACGUUUUCUGUGUAUUAGGCACUACUUACCUAAUCCAUAAGUGUUAAGAAGCAUGGGAAAUCUGUAUAUGAACAUGCUCACAGAAAAUGAUGGGGUUGGAUACAGCAAGUAUUAGAUAAACACUAAAGGUGCGGAACUAAUAAUGUGGAAAAACAUUUUGAGGUUUAUUUUUAGCUGUUCGCAGGUAUGGCCAUUGAUAAGUAAGCUUCCUUGACCCUGUCUUGACAUUCAUACAGAAAAAGGGCUGGUUCUCUAGGGCUUUAAAAGCACAGAAAAAGAACUUCAGAUGAUGGAAGUGUCUAAGUAUAUGUUCUUCCCAAAUUGUUUAAAAACUCCUUCACAGGUGAGCUAAAUAGAUCAGUGACUUCCUAUGCUUUAUUAGCACUCUUCAGUGGUUGCAUCAAUUCAUAUUCAUUUGGAGUUACUUCAUCAUGAAAAAUAAACCAGCACUAUAUUUGACUUCUAAAGAUACUUUAAUCUGUUCUGAUCAUGUACAAGUAGUAUGUUGCCUUGUUCAGGAGAUGGUAACAAGCAUGCUAAAGGCCUGUCCUCAAAAAUACUGGUUCUGUUGUACUAACCGCUAGCCAGUAUAAUUUUUGUUAAUGAUGAUAAUUUGCUUUUUUUUUUUUCCCUUUUAUUUAUAAGUUUUACAACAGGAUGAUCUUUGAUCUGAAAAGUAUAAGGUGCACCUCUAUUUCUCAUACAAAUAUAUACCUAUGAGAUGUCCAAAUACAGAGUAACUGAAAGCAGGUUACGCAGUGUAGUGAGUGUCUUGCCAGUGCUGCCAAUAGCAAGAUGGUCUUCCAUGCCUUCACUCUAUUUUCACACUAUUUUGUACCUUUUCUGUGUAGGAGAAUCUGUCCUCUUUAAUAGUCGCAUUUAAAUUAGCUUAUGCAUAAAUGUGACUAAAUCUUGGCUGGGAUGCUGAAAGCAAGUCUGCAGCCCUGACUAAACGGUGCUCCAUAUGCAGAGAUGUCUGCCUUCAGUGAGCAUCUCAAAGCAUAGCCCAGAUAAAUCUUUUGGAACAGUGCUUGCGUUUUUCUAUGCACCUAUACAACAUCGAGCAUGGUUCUUGAUGGCUGCAGCAAUACAGAGGACAUCAGUGAACCAGGUUAGAACGAGAACUCUCGUACCACCUUUGAACAAUCCCCUUCCCUGUUUCAUAUGGUGCGAAACCCUGUUUUGUAUAGUGCAAAAAAGCAAAACAAUUUGCUUUCUUUGUUUCAGAGCACAGGUACCAGGCUUUCCAAAAUGAUACUGAUAAUAAUUACCAUUAUAGGUUGGGGAGGUAUGCUCAGUGCAUCCUGACAAUGAGUUCUUUAAAGCAGAAUUUCCAAAAUCACUAAUAGUCUUUAAAAGAAGACAAACUAGAAGCCUUCUCAAUCUUUGUUCUGAUUAUGUGUUGAUGGCUGCUCUGUUGAAAGGGCAUCAAUUUGUUGUUAGUAUUGUAUAGAAUUGACUUAUUUUUUAAAUACGGCUGAGGAAAAUUGGUGGGUAAUGUAGAACUUGUGAAAAUAGCUGCAUUUAGACCUUGAAAAAGAGGGAGAAUCUUUCUGUGAUUAUUGAUAGGAGGUAUUUUUUCAGUCUCACAUCUAACUUGCAAAAAAUGCUGUUAUCUAGGUGUUAUUUGCAACUUGUGGUAUCAGAGAAACUGCCACCCGCUUUGUAAAGCUAAAAGGUAGCAGCACCAGUCAGACUUUAUUUUGAUACGCACUGUGGAUGUUAAUUGGCUGUGGCCAUAUAGAACUAUUUUUAACACGUUCAUCAGUAUGAACACUUGAAAUUAGCAUUUGCCAGUCUUGAUUGCACAGUUUGCUAGCUUGGUUACACUGGUUACAGGAUAUCCUGGAAAUUUUUAAGUCUGUGUUUGUGCUAAGAAAAAUAUAAAUGUCUUAUCACAUCUGUAUUUUGAAGAGUUUAAUAACUGGUAUUGUCACAAGUAACACCUGCAUUUGGAAAAAAUGUGCAAACACAGUGUAUUUUGUUUCCUUAGGAUCUUUGCCAGGCUUAUGUAUAUCCUGGUGGUGUUGUUUCCUAGUAAAAGUAGUUCGUUCUUUUUUUUUUAAACUGGAGGUGAGGUCCAACUUUCAGAAACCAAAGAAAGAAAUAUGCUGGAUCAUAGUUAAAAUGUGAGAAUCGUGCCUGGCAGCUGGGCAGUAUUUGCAAAUGCCAAACUUUUUUUAUUAAAAAGUGACAACUGGAAUAAACGGAAAGUCUUCAAAAAAAAAAAUUUCUUUUGUGGCUUGUCAGGGAAAGGAUGGUCUAUUGAGGCAAGGAGUUCUUCCAAAUAACCGAGCUUUUGACAGAAAUAAGACAUUGAACUAUGUAGUCCAGAUACUGUUUACUUAAUGCUGUACGCAGAAGUUAGUUGUUUUCCUCUGUGCCUCAGCUUUAUAUUCUGUUAUAUGUUAAUUAUCUUUGUUGUUGUUGUUGUUGAUUCUCCUGGAUAUUUGAAGUCAUACUGCCUCACUAGUCUUAGUGUUCUCUUUUGUAGAUACUUGUUGCAGUUACAUGCUAGCAAGCUAAUCUUGGAUAUACAUAGGAUAACAAGGAAUUUCAUCUAGUGUCUAAUUUCCUUUUAAAAUGUCUAUUCUGGAUUGUGCUGUUAUUUUUUUUUCCACAUUGAUCUUUCUUGAAAAUCAUUUGGGUCCAAUGUUCUUUGAAUGUUUUCUGAUGAUAUCAUUAACCACAGGAACAAUUGGAGAUGACAAAUUGUCUCAGUCAGCGCGGACCCGUAACCUUUAGAAAUUGCACUAUGCUAACUUGUUUUGUAUUAACAUUUUCAGGCAAAAUCCAGAAGGCUAUAAUCAUGCUUUUUCUGUAUUUUAAGUGGUCAAUAAAACUUCCGGAGUGGUCCCGCCUUGCUGUGGGUCAAAAUACAGGUUUUUAAUUUACAUCUUGAUAGCUCCAACUUCUGGACAAUGUGUAGCCAGAGCAUUGUCUCUUCCCUGUAUUCUGGUAAUCCAAACAAGAGCAAGUAUGGCUAAUAAAAGCUCUUGUAUCGCAUCUAGUUAUUCUUUGAAUGAAACAAAAUGAAUAAACAGGAAUUUGCUGACACUUUGCAACACACAAUAGAGCGUCCGUUCUCUGCAUUGCAGUAGAGACUGCUUUUACUGAUGAAGAAUGAUUAUAAGCAUCUUUUCCAUAAGGUCAGAGUAAAUCUGGUUCAUCCCUCAUAUUCCUGGGUAUGUGAUGAAGGAGGAAAAGAUAAGCUACCUAUGAAUUGAAGUAUAGCUGUACAUCUUUAGUUUGAAUAUCUUUGUGACCAGAGGAAUACAAACAAGGUCAUAAGCAAGCAAUGUAUCUUAGGAGGCAGGUCAGAAAUCCAGAACAAGUGGGUCAUAUUUUGUAGGGCUUCUGGCUGUGACUGACAAGCGUGACUUCACCAGGCUUAAUUAAAUUAAUGCUGCUGUCCUUCUAGGGGUCAGAAAUACGUAUGUGGGAACCAAACAUGGUUUACAUAUGUCUGCAUGCAUACAGGCAUUCUCAUCACCUGGUUAGACUUCCAGGCUGGCACAUGCAGGAGGACUUCCCUAAACACUUUGGAUUAAAUCAUAUCCAUCUAGCACCCCCUCUUUAAAUUAAGACCUCCCACUGAAGGCGAAGCACCAUGUCAUGAGCUUUUUUAGCAAUGUUUAUUGCUCUUUAUUUUAAUAUGUCUCUUAUCUGUAGUCUAAAUUUGACUGGAACUGAACCAUCCUACCUUAUGUUGUUGGCUUGAAACUCCUUGCCUUUGCUUACCGUUUUCCUAAUUCUUAUUAUUUACUUCGCUCUUUAUUUUAUUUAUUUAUUUUUCUUUUUGAACCUCUGUCUGGCAUGUUUUCUGAUCGUAAUAUGUAUUCUGGCUUCCCUGUUUUUUUCAGUAUCCUUGUUAAAUCUUAUACACUGGAACUCAGCAUAAUUCUGGUAAUGAGGUCACAUGAACAAAGGUGUUCAGCUGCCGCUGAAGCAGUAAUUGCUGUUUCUACUUCAUUUCAUUCGUACUGAUUUAACUUGAAAUCAAAGCAAACUGGAUAGAAAAAAUAGGGUUUCCCUGCUGUGGAGAGUCACAUGAAUGUGUGACUCUAAGGUUUGUACUUCACACAAAGUGUACGAGUUCUGUGUAGAUGUGAAAUAAAACAAAAAAUGCUGAUGUGAUACAGGAAGAAGAGCAAGUUGGAAGAAGUGUGCUCUGUAUGUAAGACUAUAAGCUCAAAAGUUAUCUGUUAAAUUAGGCUUAUUCAGUGAGGGGUUUUUGUUAGUUGUUUAUUUUGCUUGAGGUUCAUAAAGAUCAGAUUCUAAUUAGAAGUAUGUUUUCAAAUACGUAAAGUUUGCCUUUUUAUGCCCAGUAUCACAUUGAACUAGCCUUGUCCAGAUGCUUUGAAGAUGGAUUUGAAAUUGAUUUAAGAGUUCAUGUACCUACAUUUCUAACUGAUUAUUUUCUAAGCCUGUCUGCCACCUGUCCCCUUGGCCUUUAAUGAGUCAUUUGUCAACAGAUUGAUUCGGUGCCCUAAUGAUUCCUAAAAAUCUUUCUUCCUUCUGUGUUAAGUAGGGGAGAAAGAGGGGGGGUUACAGCCAAACUUGUUUCCUAAAUACUGAUUUUGGUGUUUAGGUAUACAAUCCUUCCUACAUUUAGCAUGGCAUUCUACAGUAUGUUAUUGAACAUCACUAAACUUGCUGGGUAGCUCCAUGCAAUUCUUUGCAUCUUUAAUUCUUACCAAAAUAUCCAUAUUUAUUUUUCAGACCUCUUCCAAACUGGAGCAAUAAGAGCAUAUUUUUCAAAUUGCAUGUGCUACAGUUCUUCUGGAGGGUCCUCUUACAACUGGGGUUUGCUAGGAAGCAGUUAGAGCUCAGCUUAAUCUAUUGAGAGAGAACUCUGACAAGAACUUUAACAGAAUUAUAUGGGCGCGAUGGUAUGAUAACAGAUAAGUUAAAAGUUAAUGUUAUCAAUAUGUUUGACUGGGAACACCACUGUAUGCAGCUUUUGAAUGCUUUGGACAAUGUGCUGUGGGUUAAAUGUAAGCCUUAGUUUCUGAAGGAAGAUCACGGUGGUUUUCUCAUAGCUGUGCAGAACAGUUUGACUCUGCACAUAUGUAAAUAACAAGGCAACGCAUUAAACUUAUACCUUGGUUCGUGUCUUCAGUGCCAGAAUCGAUGUGUCAGUUUGAGCUGUUCAAGUUGGAAGUCAUACUGUAGGCUCUUACUCAAUUUUCUGUGGGUUUUAAAAAAAAGAAAUCUCUGUUAAGCUCCAAAUACGUUUUUUUAGACAAAAACUUAACCUCUUCCUUCUUAAGAAAUUAAUAGUUUUCCAGAAGUCCAGACCUCUGCCAUUCUUGUCAGGGCAUGUUUUUCUUGAAUCACUGUUUUGUUUUUCAUGUUAUGUAGCAAGGCUUGUGGUCAGGAAUUCUGUCUCUCUGGAACUUUAACAAGAGAAUCAUUUCUUCAGUACUUGCAACUGCUUCUCAAUGAGCAAAUGAGUGUUACUGAGUCUACUGGAAUUGCUUCACUGUUUGCUGUAUACUCACUAUUUCCAUGUCAAAUUUUGUUUGAAAAUAUUGCUUUAACAGCUCUAACAGUUUAAAGAGACUUCAAGCUGAGUUGGUUCCUCAAAUGUUUGCCAGCGUGUCGAGGCAAGGGGUGAAUAGUGUGGUAAAUAUUCCAAGGAUACUGUAUUUCUGGUUAUACCAGGAAAAAACGGUUGUUUUUCAGAUCCAAGAACGGUGCCUUGAGCGCUGAGUGCUCAUCUCAGCGUUGGGAAUAGCAGUGUGCACAUGGCAAGCUUGGACCUUUGGGCCUGAAAUAAUAAAUGUACCAAAAAUGAGGAUGUGGUUCGGGGCUCCCCUCCACAACCAGGGCAUUUUUUCAUUGGGAAUUUAAGAAUCCCAUGUAACAGUGGGCACGUUACGACAAAUGUUUAUGGAACUUCAUAAAUAUAUUAAUUUUAAAAGGUCAUAUUAGAGUUAACAUUUGGCAAAGCAGUGUUAGAGUAACCACUGGGAUUUUUAGGUAGCACAGCAAAGUGAUGAGGGGAAAUUAUGAUGUACUUGGUUGAAAACCGAGUUAUUGAACAUAUGCUAGUCCUUCUGACCAAGUCUUGGUAAAAUAACUUGGUGUUAAGUCUUAGUUUCUUCCAGAAAUGAUUUCAUUAAUUGCUGAUAAGAUGUCUGCCUUCAGUACUGGAAUACUAGGCAAGGUGUAAUCUGUUUCGAUUGUGAAAAAUAUGUUUUAGGUUUUAUAUAUGAUAGUUACCUUUACAGAGUUGUGUGGAGAAAAUGAGACUGCUUACCAUAACAGUAGUUUUCUAAUACACCGGGCUGCAUGGUCUUUCUCUACCAGAGAGAAAAUAGCUUCAGAAGAAACUGAUUUCUUUGAAGUACAGGGACAUGGCACUGUUUUAUCUGAGGAGUAACUUUGCACGCAGACUUGUUCUGUUUUUUUAAGGGACUUCCUUUUUUUCCAGUGAAAUGGAUGACUAAAAGGAAAACAUUCAUUUCUGGCAAUUGACAUUUUUAGGUCAAAGUAUUUUUGAAGGUUUUUUUGUAGGUUCUGUUGUUAAAAUAACAAACUUACUGUGCUGUAAAAUCAGUGUCAUGUGCUUUUAUAAGGAGAGUUAACUAAAACUAAGUUUCUGGCUGGGGGAGAUGUUCUCACAUGCUUUGUUUGAACACGAAUUCGUCUGCUUCCUGUCUUUGUGGUUAAAAAGGCAAACAGAUAGAAGAUGCUUAUUAAGGUUUUUUAAGAAAUUAUGAGAACUCAGAGGGGAAUGUUAAAGUUCUCAUUAAAUUUGUGCUUCUGCUUGAACACCUCUAGCAUGUUCUAUCAGCCUUUGCUUACAGAGUGAGGGUGCUGCUCGCUCACAGCACAGAGUCUUGCUGCCAACACAUGUCAGCCUUGGGCAGUGUGUGUUUGAAUACCUUAGCAUGUAGAUUGAAAAGUGGGGUUUGCUGAAUAACUAAGAGUGCAACGUAGUAGUGCUUUACCUGCAUGCUCCUGAUGGUGUGAAACGUUACUGCAUAAUCUGUUUGGUGUCAGAUCAUAAACUGUUGUGUCCUGGUCCUGCCUCACGUAGUGCACACAUGAAACGGGAGAGAAAUGGACCUCAAAUGGCCUUUGUUGAAAGAUGCAGCAUCUAGAGAUGAGUCCUUUUCCCCAUGGAGCCACUGCCUUGCAAAAAAAAAAAAAAA